UACGUAGGGUGCAAGCGUUGUCCGGAAUUACUGGGCGUAAAGAGUGUGUAGGCGGUGCUCUAAGUUCGGUGUGAAAUCUCCUGCUUAACUGGGAGGGUGCGCCGGAAACUGGAGUGCUCGAACGUGGGAGAGGAAAGCGGAAUUCCUGGUGUAGCGGUGAAAUGCGUAGAUAUCAGGAGGAACACCUGCGGUGUAGACGGCUUUCUGGACCAUUGUUGACGCUGAGACACGAAAGCGUGGGUAGCAAACAGG
rnacentral:rRNA from 1 species